GCCCCCGUAGCUCAGUGGAUAGAGCAACGGUUUCCUAAACCGCAGGUCGCAGGUUCGAGUCCUGCCGGGGGCG
rnacentral:tRNA from 1 species